ACCUGGCUGGCUCAGUCGGUACAGCAUGUGACUCUUAAUCUUGGGGUUGUGAGUUCAAGCCCCACGUUGGGGG
rnacentral:tRNA from 1 species